rnacentral:lncRNA from 1 species
CAAAGAGGAAACGAGCAUAUACCAUGUUUAAUUAAAAUUAGUUCCAAGAUAGAAGGAUAAAAAGAAAAGCCGGCAUAUCGAGAGGUCUUAAGAGUAAAUCAUAUCAUGAAAACGAAGAGAGGAUCUGGAGCUAGUUCUGACAAAUAAUUAUUAGUAAACACUCCCCAUUGUGUACUAGUAUAUAUUAUUUCCAUCAAUUGAGUAUAAUAAUUGCCUGAGAGACGUCGUAAGCAUGGAGCCUUGAAGGGAGCUCUUGAUUGUUGUGCAUCAUUGCAUAUAUUAUGCAUUGCAUUUUAGAGAUGAUCCACUCAAUCUUCCACGGUCUAUCCUUAUAUCGUGAGGACGUUACAAUGAGCCAUUCUGAGGGACUCCGUCUCGCCUCAAAGUUCAUCACCAUCUGAAGGAUCGGGGAUCUUCUCGUGAUUUUUUUGAAAAAAUACAAGACGUUUCUAAUCCAUACCUCAACUAUUUUUGACGUGUAUGAGAUAAUGGAUUCUUCAAAAUGACGUUUGUAUCCGCUGGUUUCAUGCCAUUGCUAAUACCAAGCUCUUCGAACCUUCACCUUACGAUAUAUAUAGGGACCAAUACUAACACUCGAACCUUGCUUAAUCUUUGGGUCUGAAUUGACUUCUAAGGCAAUGAAAGCAGGGGUCGGAGGACCGAGAUAAUUACGUUUGAAAUCUCGUCCAGAGAAUAUCCACCGUGUUCCAUGGGAUACAAAGAAGUUAUUCAACACAA